AGACGGAGGGGGCUAGCGUUGUUCGGAAUUACUGGGCGUAAAGAGCAUGUAGGCGGUAUAGUAAGUUGGGAGUGAAAGCCCGGGGCUCAACCCCGGAACUGCUCUCAAAACUACUAAACUAGAGUUUGGUAGGGGAUGAUGGAAUUCCUAGUGUAGAGGUGAAAUUCUUAGAUAUUAGGAGGAACACCAGUGGCGAAGGCGAUCAUCUGGGCCAAUACUGACGCUGAGAUGCGAAAGCGUGGGGAGCAAACAGGAUUAGAUACCCUAGUAGUCC
rnacentral:rRNA from 1 species